rnacentral:rRNA from 1 species
GUGGGGAAUCUUGCGCAAUGGGCGAAAGCCUGACGCAGCCAUGCCGCGUGAAUGAUGAAGGUCUUAGGAUUGUAAAAUUCUUUCACCGGGGACGAUAAUGACGGUACCCGGAGAAGAAGCUCCGGCUAACUUCGUGCCAGCAGCCGCGGUAAUACGAAGGGGGCUAGCGUUGCUCGGAAUUACUGGGCGUAAAGGGCGCGUAGGCGGACAGCUUAGUCAGAGGUGAAAGCCCAGGGCUCAACCAUGGAAUUGCCUUUGAUACUGGCUGUCUUGAGUUUGGGAGAGGUGAGUGGAACUCCGAGUGUAGAGGUGAAAUUCGUAGAUAUUCGGAAGAACACCAGUGGCGAAGGCGACUCACUGGCCCAAUACUGACGCUGAGGCGCGAAAGCGUGGGGAGCAAACAGGAUUAGAAACCCGGGUAGUCC